UACGGGGGGGGGGCAAGCGUUGUUCGGAAUUACUGGGCGUAAAGGGCUCGUAGGCGGCCAACUAAGUCGGACGUGAAAUCCCCAGGCUCAACCUGGGAACUGCGUCCGAUACUGGAUGGCUUGAAUCCGGGAGAGGGAUGCAGAAUUCCAGGUGUAGCGGUGAAAUGCGUAGAUAUCUGGAGGAAUACCGGUGGCGAAGGCGGCAUCCUGGACCGGCAUUGACGCUGAGGAGCGAAAAGCCAGGGGAGCAAACGGG
rnacentral:rRNA from 1 species